GUUAUCUCUAACCUUCCUUGUGGAUUUCAAAUUACGAAAAAAAUCAGAAAUAUUCAGCUCCCAAGUAUGCAGCCUUUUGGAAUUCCGUUUCAUUCCUUAAGAGAUCAGGUUUCCCAAAUUGCUUCUACUCGGUCUGCUGACUCACACUCCUGAGAGAACGCCAUCUGCUGUUUUUGCUUUUGGGUCGGUGGGCAAUUUCAGAUAUUACUUUUCUUCCCCUACAAUUUUCAAUCAGUUUACACUCUGUUUGUUGUUUAGUUUCGCUCUGUUCUUCGGCUUUGUUGCUGCUACUCUUCUGAUCACUUCCAGGUUUCUGGAAUUAACAUCUGAUUACUCUAUCUAACUACUCCGUCUUUACGAGUAAUGGUGCUCAAAAGUUGUUGGAUAUCGUGGUUGUUAUUGCUGAGGCACUUACUUAUGUUCUCUCAUGGAUGUAUGGCAGUGUUAGCCAAUUGGGUGUUGGAAAUGCUAUCCUAAUUAUCCUUCAACUCUUCUUGGCUGCUAUCAUCCUUAUGUGCUUAGAUGAACUUCUUCAGGAAGGAUAUGCUUUUGGCUUCUGGAAUUUCCUUGUUCAUACCUACCAAUAUCUGUGAAAACAUUAUCUGGAAAGCCUUUAAGAUCAGUGCUAUUCGAGAGGCGUUCUAUCAGCAAAGUCUCCCCAAUGUGACAAAUCUGCUUGCAACUGUGCUGAUCUUCCUUCGUGAUGCUAAUGAAAAAAUUAUGCUAACACUGUGAUACAACUCAACCCACGUAAUGUACACUUAACCAUCAAGACAAACACAAGGCCUACAUCAAGUGCUACUCAGUUCACAUAUCUACUAAGAGGGUAUCUAUGAAUUAAAUAAUCAAGUGAAAGAUGUAAGAGUCUUCUGUGGAGAGUGGUUCCCAAAAGAAAACGGACUUGAGUCCGGUAAGUGACUGCGGUGAUCAAUCCAACAGUAGCUAUGGUUGAGAAAAAGGCAUAAAAGAAUGCAAACAAGUUCACCUAAGCAUGUUUGUUGAUCAGGUUUGUCAAAUUGCUCCUACUCAAUCAGCUGAUUCACACACCCUAUAAAGGCCAUCUGGUAUUUUCGCUUUUGGGUAAAUGGUGGGCAAUAUCGAUUUCACUUUUCUUUCCCGUACGAUUAUUCAGGUCACACUGUUUAUCUUUCUGUUUAGUUUCACUCUGUUCUUCGAGUUUCUUGCUGCUACAAAUUUGCGUUUGAUCACCUUCGGGGUGAGAUCAGUUUAUACUGUAAUAUUUCCAUUGCCUCCAUGCUCUUCUCUUUCUGUGUAUGUAGCUUCUGUGUUUCUGUUUUAGCCUCUACCCUUAGGAGUUCAAGUACAAUGAUCAAAUUUGAGGCGAAGCAUUUAGACAUUCCUUAAAUUAUUUAACUAAAAAUUAGCAAGAAAUUACAUUGACCUACUAUAUAUUAAUAUCUUGGAAGAAAAAAAAUAAAGAUAAAAAGUAUGAAGAAAGAUUAAAAUUGCAUAAGGGAAAUGGUAAAAUAAUUUAUAGGAACCUUUGAUUGGGUGAUACAGUGCAUUUGAACUGAUGUUCCAACUUAUGUGAUGAUGAAAAUGUAUAAAUUGUUCGAAAUAUAUAUGCUUACGGAUAAAAAAUCCCACAACACCAACUUGAUGACAUUAGCAAAUAAGAUUGUUAUAAUGUAAUCUAAAUGAACUCUGCCAAUAUCUCCAUUCUUUCUAAAAGUCGCGUAUUUUUUUUGCUUUUGCUCAUCUAUUGGUAGGGACUGUGUAAACACCGUGCUCUUCAACUGAAGUUUCUGUGUGGAAUUGGCUACUGUCCUGUUGGUGCCCUCUCAUUGGUGAUAAACAUCUUCAGUAAAAUGUGUCCUAUUACUCAUUUCAAGACUUCUCAAAAUCUCUUCGGAAACAGAACAACACAGGCUUAUCUUAUUCAGACCAUUGUGUACAAUAAUGGCAGUGAUGAAUAUUUUUUGUGAAAAAGGUUCCGAUAAGGGUAUACAAGAACGCGAAUUAGACGAACAAUUUCUUUUCCAAUUGAGAGGCCAAUGUAAGUACUUUCUAGCACAUGGAAUGCAGAUAGCUUCGCUACUAUAAGAGGCUUGGACAAGAUAAACAGUUUAUCAUAAACUGCACAAGUGCACCAUUUUGUAGCAUGUUAUAAGAAUUUUAGUUUAGAUGCUUGUCAAUGGGAACCCCUUGUCUCUGCUCGUGUUUCCACCACUAUCCACUGUUGGGAUCAGUAUAACUAUAAUGCUUGUUGCUUUCUGUCAUAAUCAAGGGUCAAACCAGUUUUGGACUUACAGUUAUACUUUUGCAACAAAUAAAGUAGCAAACAUGAUUGCUCAGAAAAUUGAUACUUCAGCUGUAAACUGCUCCAUGCAACUUCUUGAAUCAACUGGUUCAAAUAAUCAUAGAGGAGAUGCGAAAACUUUACAGAGGUUCUUAUCAUGUACAAGGUAGAAAACUCUCGAAUUUCAAGUGUUUGAUAGAUGUUCCAAAACUCUAGAGUUCAUCUAAAGUUCUUUCGUAAAUGAUAUUUGCUCACUAUCCCGUUUUCUCAUUUCUGUGCUACAAUGUAUUUCUCUGUUUUAUGACUUUUAUCUACUAACAGUGAAGCCAUUGUUGUAAACAUUUCGUUUAGGCAGUGAAUUUGCACUUUCACAAUUGAGAGAUCAUUGAUAUUAAAGUUCUUUUUUACUUCUGAAAUUAUAGUUAUUUCUAUAGGGUAAUUUGUUGUUGUUUGGAGAUUUAAACAAUUAUAGCCGGAAUGUAUUUAUGGACAAUAACUGGUAUUAGCCCAAGUUUUCAUUACAUUUCUUAGUGCUUGCAAGUUUUUUCAGGGGGUUUCACUUUUUUAAGUUUUGAAAAUUCAUAGAGUUUCACUUAUAUAAGUAUUGAACUUCAAAGAGACAUGGUCUCAAAAUUUUAUUCAUUUAAGUUCGAACUUCGGGACAUAAUCCUAGAGUUUGACGUGCAACAAUUUGAAAUACAGUUAAUAUAUCAGAAUGUUGCCUGAUGGUUCUAUUUUUUCCAUUCUGAUAAUUUGUAUUACACACAUGUGCUAGGAUGUUUUUUACUUGUGUAUUUUUCAGAUUAGCUUCUUGUCUCGGCCAUGAGGCAAAAACAUUCUACUUCCUAAUAACACAAGUAUUAGGGAACUGGUAGAAUUGUAGCACUUUGUACUCUUCGUUUUUUGAAACAUUUUGAAUCAAAUUGUAUAGAUUUCUUCCGGCGUUGUCUCAUGACUUGUAAACAAAAGUUUUUUAUGUUAAAUAAAAACUAAUAAGGUUCUUGGGCCAGGGCUACUACCUCCAACUAGUAUAUAUUCCUACUAUUUAGAAGCGAGGGUUAAAAGGCCUCUUCGUCGUCCUGCUUGCUGUUCAAAAGGGUAAUUUCGGGAUUCCGUUUAAAUUGUACAUCUCGGAGUGUUGUGCAUAAAUGUAGGCGUGUCAGAAUUUACUUUUUGGGGUGACAUUUUGCCCUUGGUUUAGCCUUUUAUCACUUUAGUUUACCUUUCAGAAUUUGUAAUAUCAACCUCUUUUAGGGCCUUCUUGGUAAAUCAAUGUUUACCCUCCCCAACACCUGUCACCAUCUUCAUCUUCUCUCUGUCUAUCCUUGUUCUCUGUAUCAUCUUUCCUUUGCUCCAGUAGAAGAACCGUCUUCAACUUCAUCGGUUAAUGGUUGGUUUGCCAUUAGGUUGUUCUACAAUUUUAGUAAAUAGACAAAAUUUUUGUUGACACAUGAAACUGCAAAAUCAAAUCGUUUGAGUUUCUUCUAAUAUCUUUUAAGUGUGGCAAAACAGCUCAACAGGUUAGCCCUAUUUUACUGCUCAUGUGACAUCUUUUUCAGCUUAUCAAGUCUGAGAUAUUAAAAUAGCUUUGAAGGGGAUCCUCCAAAUUAGGGUACUUCUCUAGAGCCCCCAAGAAUCGCAGUAGAUAAAUCAGUGGAAUUUUCAUAUGAAGAACUUGCUAACAAAACCAACAACUUCAGUCUGUUUACUAUGCAGAGUUAAGAGGCGAGAAUGGCAAACAAACGAUCCAACAAGAAGCAUUAGGGGCAUUGGCUUCUUUAGCCCAAUCUGCUAAGGUAUUAAAUGGUGCAUUUAUUCCUGACCCAGUGCUAUUUCUACUUAAUAUAAUGAACCAUUAAGGCUAAAUAUUAUGCAUCAGUAGGAGCACUGCGGAACCUACGGUAAAUUCUUUGUGAAAAUUUUUGAGGAGCUGACAUUAUUUAGUGUAAAGACUGACAAAAAGCUACAUUUCCUAGAAACAACGUUAAGCUCUUGCCUUUCCUGCUGCAAUUUUAUACCUGCAUGAUGGUGCCCAAGCUUUGCAGGUGAAUGUCAUGUAUUUGUUAUCUCUUUCGUCUACCUCUUCUUUUUUAUUAGAGAAUAAUGAAUUAUUUAACCUUCUUGUUUCAUUCUAUAUCAUGUAGUUCUUUUGGGAUAUUUAUCAUAUUCACGUGAAUGUGUUUGCUAUAAUCAGCCCAAUGAAUUUGGUAAUCAGUUUUUGAGCUCUUUAACUUUGUGGCAGAGGUUUUCAUCUUGGUUACUUGUCAAUGGCAUGACGUGGUAGGCAUAAAAGAGGCAGCCAAUUAUACCAAGUGUGGUAGUAAGAACCUCUCAAAUGACUGAAUGGGUAUUCUAGAAAUAUGGCAUUUCUGUGUCCUCUUCCACUCGAAAAAAAUGAAUUGACGAUUUAACAUAUGGCAUCAUAGGAAACUGAUGAUUUCUGUCUAAAUUUGUUAAUUAUUUCAUUUGGCCCUGCACUAUGAAGAAUAUCUUGGAUGAACUCUUAACUCCAACAUGAAAAACUGAUAUACUGUUUCAAUAUUUUUUUGGGAGAAUUUCUUGUUGCCAUAUCCAUGUCAGGCCCAUAUCUCUGAACAUUCUGUGGGUUGAAUCAUGUAUAUUGGUUGGUCCUUUGCUACUUCUACAAAUCAUACCAUCCACAGAUGAUAACAAUUUGGCAUGAUAUCUUCCUUGUACAAAGUGCUUUGAGCUCAUCAGUCUAAAAGAUUCACCCUUGUAUGCAUUUAAAUCGUCAAUGUGUUUAAUAUAUGACUCAGUAGUAAAAAAACUAUAAGGGUAUCUCAAGCACUGUCAGUGUAAAUAUAUCUAUCAGCUUAAAUCUGAUGCGACAAACUCGCAGGCUUGUAAUUCUUAUGUGGAUCCCGCAGCAUUCCUAGCUGCUAUCGAAUCAGGAACUGUAAGGGUUGAAAUUGGAAACUAUGACUCAUUCUAUGACGUGAGAUUGGUCUUCCAUCUUGAGCAGCUAUCAAGAAUUAUAUUUUACAAUGAAUACAACUAUAAUGUGUUGUUGACAAAAAUAGUUGACCAUCCACCCCUCCCCAGACCCAUAUCCCACCAGGUUGUUGUUGUUGUUGACAAAAAACACUUAAGAUUUAACUAUAGUUUCAACUGUGAAAAAGCUUUGAUAUUUUGAUCAAAUUAAUUUCAACUAAUUCUGCAAAUGUGUGUUCUGUUCUUAAUAUUUGAUGUCAAUUUUAUUUUGAGUAUAAACUUUGACAAAAGGUGGCAAGGUCGAAGCCAAUGAGGCAUUCAUCGGUGUACGCUUCUUAUGAGAGAAAUUUUUUUCCACCCGGAAAGUAGAAGAUGCAUGGUAAGAUCCAGAAGAAUAGUUGUGAAUCUUAUACCCUUUUUUAAGAAUAUUUGAUUUAAAUUUCUUUGCCUAACUCUAUAUGUUCCAUUUGAUUCGUAUGUAAGUUUAUCACUUUAAGUAAUAUGUUCUAUCCGAUAGCUACGGAAUACCAAUUAAAGUUAAGGAGCUAUAAUUUCUAUUUGAUCAUUAUCAGUCUUCUUAUUUUAGUUGUUACAAAUACAAUAUUUCGAUUAUUUAUAUAGGUUUCAUUUCAGAGAAAAAUGAUUCUGCGAGGUAACAUGCGAAGUUGCCAAGGUGAAUAUGCGUACUCGAAAAACGAUGAGGAUGAAAAGGAUGACAGCAAUAAUUGAAUCAUUUAUUGUGUGCAAGAUAUAAUUCAUGAUUCACUUUCAUUUGCAAUUUACAGUCUCUCUGUUAUGAAUAUUUGUCGUAGCUAAUUUAUCUCAAUGGCACACUACAACCAGUUGGAGGCCACCUUAGUUGAUGCAACAGUAGCAAUAUGUUUGAUAAUUUUGGUUCAAUGUGACGGGGUCUUGAAAAGCUGAUUGCAAUAGCGAAAGACAAUAUACGCUUCCUUGGAAAUGUGCCGCAACAGAAAAAGCACAAAAUUUGCAAGAAUCUUAAUGUUAAGUUGCGUGACCAACUCAUUUGAGGCUAUGACUGAAUCUGUAGAUUGAGACAUGUAGCUCUUCCGAUAGAGGAAUCAAAUCAAGCACAAGUAGUAUCACUGGAAAUUUCCGAUAAAUAUUGAGUGGUUUGACUAAGCAUAUUCAGUACUACAGGAAGACACCUUCAAGAGUACUCUUUCUUUUUUGGGAAACAAUGGCAUUUCUAAACUGCUUCUUUCUGCCUUUUUGUUGGUAUUUACUGCAGUAAAUAUUCAA